UCGGGAAUAUUGGACAAUGGGUGAGAGCCUGAUCCAGCCAUGCCGCGUGCAGGAAGAAGGCGUUAUGCGUUGUAAACUGCUUUUGCCAGGGGAUAAAAAGACCGUGCGCGGUUAAUUGAAGGUACCUGGUGAAUAAGCCACGGCUAACUACGUGCCAGCAGCCGCGGUAAUACGUAGGUGGCAAGCGUUGUCCGGAUUUAUUGGGUUUAAAGGGUGCGUAGGUGGCCCUGUAAGUCAGUGGUGAAAUAUCUCAGCUUAACUGAGAGGGUGCCAUUGAUACUGCAGGGCUUGAGUACAGAUGAGGUAGGCGGAAUUGACGGUGUAGCGGUGAAAUGCAUAGAUAUCGUCAAGAACACCGAUAGCGAAGGCAGCUUACCAAGCUGUAACUGACACUGAGGCACGAAAGUGUGGGGAUCAAACAGGAUUAGAUACCCGUGUAGUCCCUGAGCGGGCUGGCAAGGCGCAU
rnacentral:rRNA from 1 species